rnacentral:rRNA from 1 species
AAUCAACGCUGGCGGCGUGCCUAACACAUGCAAGUCGAACGCGAAAGCCCCGCAAGGGGUUAGUAGAGUGGCAAACGGGUGAGUAACACGUGGGUGACCUGCCUUAGAGUGGGGGAUAACGUCCCGAAAGGGACGCUAAUACCGCAUAACAUCCUGCCUUUGAAGAGGUGGAGAUCAAAGCCGGGGACCGCAAGGCCUGGCGCUCAAAGAGGGGCCCGCGCCUGAUUAGCUAGUUGGUGAGGUAAUGGCUCACCAAGGCAACGAUCAGUAUCCGGCCUGAGAGGGCGGACGGACACACUGGGACUGAGACACGGCCCAGACUCCUACGGGAGGCAGCAGUGGGGAAUUGUUCGCAAUGGGCGCAAGCCUGACGACGCAACGCCGCGUGAGGAUGAAGACCUUCGGGUCGUAAACUCCUUUCGAUCGAGACGAAUGGCCCUUGGGUGAACAGCCCAGGGGUAUGACGGUAC